rnacentral:rRNA from 1 species
CCAGACUCCUACGGGAGGCAGCAGUGGGGAAUAUUGGGCAAUGGACGCAAGUCUGACCCAGCGACGCCGCGUGCGGGAUGAAGGCCUUCGGGUUGUAAACCGCUUUCAGCAGGGAAGAAGCGAAAGUGACGGUACCUGCAAAAGAAGCACCGGCUAACUAUGUGCCAGCAGCCGCGGUAAUACAUAGGGUGCAAGCGUUGUCCGGAAUUAUUGGGCGUAAAGAGCUCGUAGGUGGUUAGUUACGUCGGGUGUGAAACUCUGGGGCUCAACCCCAGACCUGCACUCG